AUUCAUCUUAUCCUGAUAAACCAGAGAUACAUAGAAAAAAUAACCAAAAUAUGAUUCCCAGAGAUUAAGGAAGGGAUUGAUUUUAUAAUCUUUGAUUUAUAAACUGCCAACUAUUUAUAUCACAGUUGCUGAAAAAUUAGUAUGUAGUUGUGAAAGGAUUUUCUGUCACCACUGUUGGAGGGCCUACAGAUGAGGAUGUAAUCAAGACAUGAGGACCUGAUCCCUAAAGAAAAAAGAUGUUUUGUCUGUGUAGAUUGGACCUAGGAUCUGUCUUCGUCAUUAAUGCUAGGCAGAUGGUGACACCCUAGGAAAUAAGACCCUUGAACCAUAUGUGUCAAGGUACCUUUAAACACAGUAAAACCCAUCAUUACUUACUCCAUGUGCCAUACUUCUAUAUUACUGGCUGACACGUUCCAUUAUGGCUAAUGAAUUUACUCUCUACAGAUGUAGUGUUUGUGCCUUUGUUGAACCAGAUGUUCCUGAACCAGAGGUCAUUUGUGGGAAUUGGGGUAUCACUCUGUUUUUGAGCUGCAGUUUAAUAAAUCAGCUCUGCUGAAGUCUUAGACACUAGGAAAUUGAAUAAACUGUUUUUGAUGUUAGAGGAAAAGGAAAUCUCUGCUAGUUGUUCUACUUAUUGUGUUUUUCCAUCAAACAAGCCAUGUAUCAUGAAUUAUGUCACUUUAAGAGUUGCUCUGAUACCUUUGUAAUGGAGAAAAAGGUAAAUCAGAGUCUAUGGCAACAUUAUUUCUCUGUUGACUGAUAGCCCAAGAAAUUCAGGUGUAGUUUUAGGUGCCCUCCCCAUUUGCUGGAAUGCCCCAAUCUUUUAAACAGAAAGAGAGUAGAUUUAGUGUUAAGUUCUCAUUUAAUAAUUUGGCACAGGCAAAGAAAUGGAAAAGUAAUUCUAAGUCUGCGAUGUGUCUCACUGCAUUUUCAAGUGCCAAUGAAAAUUUUAGCCAUGCCUCUUUUUAAUGAGAGUAUUAAUGAAAACAGUUUGAGUGCAUCUUCAACAAGUUCUUUGAAAUAGGAAUGUGCCUCUGAUGUGCAUAUUCUUAGAGGAUCUUGAAACUUAUCUUGCCGUAAAUAUCAAAGUUCUCUAAUGAGACUUUGAAGAGGUAGGAGAUGAUGAUAAACCGAGAAUGAGUUGGCAGUUUCAGAAACAGGAAAAUGUAAAACUCUAAGGUACAAUUGCUAGUUAUUCAUAACGGCCAUCUCAUUUCCUUUCUGGUACUUGCAGAAGUCAGUUGGUCCCUUUUCUACAUGAACUAACGUAAAAAAAUAUCAACAUCAAAUGAAUUAAGAUUGUUAUUUUAUAAGCCAUAUGGUCAAGUAGAAUCUGAAAAUAAAGGCUGAUGAUUAAAUCACUUAGUGAGGGUCUGUACAGGAGGCGGUGUGUUAUUUUACAGGAAAUCAGACUAGAUAAUCAUAAUAAUACUUCUGGCCUCAAAAUACACAAAUCUGUCCAAUUAAUAUUUUUUUUUACCAAGUUUGAUGAAGUAACUGGUGGUUGCUUUGAACUCUCAAACUGAGAAUAGAUCUUAGUCAUGUUUUAAAUUGAAUGGAAAUAGCUCUUUUAUAUAUCUUAGUACAAUGACAAAACUAGUUUUCUUCAUUUAAGAGCAAAUAGGCUCUUAUUUGUUUAGUUCAAAGAUAGGGUUUGUUUUUUUUUUUAAUUUCGCAAAGCAACAAUUACAAUCCUUUUCUUCUAUAAGUGAAAAGCAGUGCUGUGAAUAUGACAUAAAACUUUUCUCUUUCUUUCCCUUCAUGAGAGUGUGCAUAGUUAUACAGAUCAAACAGGAUCUAAGAAUAAAGAUGACUUUUUUAUGGCAUUUCCAGAUGAAUACUUACAUACACCCGUUUAAGACAUUUUUUUUCAUUACCACCAAACUACUUGUCCAAGAUCACAGUCAUGAACAAGAUCACAAGACUUCAGCUACCAUUUAAUUCAUUCAUUUUCCUUCUGGGACUUCAUCCAGUUUGCCUUAAAUAAUGCUACUCAGGAAUUGGCCUGCUUCAUCUAUACAUAUGAAUCAAAUGGGAACUGGAGUGGUAUGUCUGUGAUCUUGCAAUAGUAUCUUAACGGUGGUGACUAAAAGAAGAAAAAGAAAAUCAGAAGACAGCAAAGGUACUGCGUUUCUUAAAUAUUUAUUUGAACCCUUAUCUAAAAUAUGAUUUUUCAGAGCAUAAAUGUCCUUGAAGCACGUUUGAUCUUAGAUAUUUUAUUGUUCUGGAUGCUAACCCUGACACAUAAUAUUGUCCUUUAAAAAACAGACUCUUCUCGGAAAAUAUUGUCUUGCAUUUAAUUUAAAGUUAUAUAUGUCUGUUAGGUUACUAGAAUGUUAGCUCUGUUUAAGUCUUUGAACAGAAUCUUGAACACUGAAAUAUGUGAUAAAUUCUUUCUUUACAAUUUGUCCUAAAAAGUAUCUAUAGAUUUCAGCAAGCUUAGCCAAGAAUUAUUGUUGAGAAAUACUGUUGUUGUAGAAUUGCUCAGCCCCGUCUUUUUAGGGUAGGAAUACAUAUCUGAAACAAAAAUUAUUAAAUUUACAUUCCAUUUUUCUAGCUCUUUUCAUUUGGGUUAGAGUCCAAAUAGCUUCAAAAAUGUUUCUAAUGAGAUUUUGAAUUUCUUGUAACAGUGCCACUGGGAACUCCACUGUCUGAGAAUUUGCUGGAAUAUAGCUCUUUCUUGAUUUCAAAUAAUUCUUUAGAAACAUUAAGGAUCUCAAAUUUCAGUUCAAGUAGUAACAUUCUCAAAUAUGACUGUAAAACUGAAAUUUUAUUUUAUCUGACUGUGGUAGCAUGUAGUUGUAAAGUAAACCUUUUGCAAUAAUCAGAAUUUAAUACCAUGUGAUUAGGAAUUUAAUCAGACCAAAUUGUAUUUAAUAUCAAUAGUAUAUUUUAUGCUCCAACUUAAAGAUGUAAUGGGCUGAUAUCAAGUUUAAUAGUACUGUUGCCAUGAAGCUAAUAUUGACAGAAACCAGUGUCUCUGUUAAGCUUUGAAAGCAGUAUUUACUAUUACUUGUAAAAUGACUGCAAACAUAACUACCUGAAAUACAGUUCAAUGCAUUUGGAAUUUGUGUUAAACUUUAACUUAACUUUACUUGUGUAAAAUUUAACAUGCAUGGUUAGGUAUUAGACCUCUUGCAGUACUUCCAGAAUUGCCACGGUUUCUUUUGAAUUUCCAGCUACUACUUGUUGUCCUUUGUUUUGUUGCAUUUAUAAUUACUCAGGAGUAUUUAGAUGUAUGUUUUGAUAUCCCACUUAAAGAGGAAUUUCUAAUGAUUGUAAAUAUGACAAUACCUUGAGUAGAGAGUUUGUGUAUGACUGCAGGAAUUUAGUUGAAGAAUAGGUGGGAGUUGGUGGAAGCCCAAAGGGAUGAAAAGAGAGACAGAGUGGCUGUGUCCCCUUGCAUGUUGCAUCUUCUACUAAAUUUCUGGGUGUAUUGAAGUUUUCCUUGCUACAACUGAAAACUUGGUUCUGAUGCUGCUGAAAUAUUUUCUUAUAGCCAGAUAAAGAAUGAGGAAAAUUAUAUUAUUCAAAUUUAUCAAAUUGAAAAUAUCCUCACUUUGUCAUGCUGGUUUGUUUGUUUGUUUGUUUGUUUUCAUCAUCAUCAGUAAUCAAAUCCAGAGUGAAGCAUGUUGCUUUUUGAGCAGACCUCAGGUUAGCUCUGUGGUCCUGCAUGCUUGUGAUAUUUUUCCCCCCCAGCUCUGGCUUUUCUAUCAUUCUGGUAACCAAGUGCUUAAAAUUGCAUGGGAGAGACAUAUGGAAAUAACUUUUCUUUGCUCUAGCUUUGACACAGUGAGUAACUCAGGUCUCAGUCAGUACAACUGCAUUAAAUUGUAUGUAUAUGUAUGCAUUCAGAGCAGUUAAUUCUGUGCUUAGUAACUAUGAAGUCUGACUGCAAAUUACAGAAGUUUUUCAAUUUGAACUCAACUCCAGCUUAUACUUUUGUAAUUCCUUUUGGGCCUGCAUGGUUAGCCAGUAGUGAGGUGUUUACUAGGAUGAUCAGAAAAUACACUACUUAUUUACUACUGUACCUUUCAGUUACAUCAAAUGUCAUAAAAGAUUUUAUUUUCUGAAGGAUCAGAGCAAGAAAAGGUUUUUUUUCCCAUGUCACUUUCUAGAUGUUUUUUUCCCCCAUAUCACUGUUCUUUAUAUUUUUUUCCAGAUGGAAAAGACAUACUCAAACAUUAUUCACACAUGGCUUUUUUGGGAAUUUAUGUGGUUGCUGUUUCGUCAUGUGUCAAGUGAGCUUCGCCUCUCCUGGCGAUGAUGACCUCUUUUGCAACAACCAGAAAGAGACACUGGAACAAGUCUUCUUUUGAGGGGUGUUUGCAGUGAAUGGCUUCCUGUCCUUCAGCAGUGUGCAUUGCAUUGGGUGCAGAGUUCAUUUAUGCUGCGUCCGCUUUGAGUGACCUCAUACUCAAUGAUGUUCUGUGCUAGAAGAAACUUCCUCAGGUCUUAUAAAUGGCAUCUGCAUUUACUCAAAAAGAAACACUGCUUCAGAAUUUCAUACACAGAUAAUGUACUCAAAAAUCUUCACCAUAGACAAACAGGACCCAAACUCCUGAGGUGUUGAACAUUUCUGAUGAGGAAUCGGGUACUGUGACUGCAAAGUAUACUCCAAACCAGCUGAGACAAUAUUCGAUGCAGUAUGCUAAGUGUGGAAUACUCUGUGCAGAAGGAAAUGCCUUACCUUUUCCUUGAGCAUAUUGCAAGAAGGAAGAAGUGGAAUAUCAGGAGCUCAGACUCAGUGCAGAGAACAGUGGCUCAGAUCCUUGCAGGCAUCUGACACGUAGGUAUCAUGGAUUUCACUAAGAGCUUGGUCUAUCUUCAUUUGAACAAGAAAGCCUUUACUACUUAAGCCUUAUGAAUAUUUACUUUAAAGAUAUGGGUUUUUUCCUGUUUAUUAUGUGUGAUGAAGCAAAUUAGAGAUCUAGGAAUCUGACAGGUACUCAAGAUUUGAAUACUUUUUCAACAAAUAAAAUGAGGAAGAUUCACAAGCUUUCUUGUGCUGCAGCUAUAUGUAUGUACGUGUAACCAGUUACUGAGAUUGACAUAAAUACCUGGUAUGGCUGUGGUGAUGAAAACAGUAAAGAUUGGCAAUAAGUCACGAUUCCCUUUUAGAAGUAAGAUAAAUUCUACAUAACAUUCAAGCACAUCUGUCACCCCAACUAAUGAAAGCUGAUUUAAGUCAUUUAAUAGAAGCUGGAAUCCUUGAUAAUGACACUACUACUUUUCUUCCCAAGAUAAUUAUUAGCUGACCAAGAUGUUUCUUGGAUGUGAUGGUCUGCUGAAGAUAUAAACACUCAAACAUUUCUGCAAAUCAUCAAUACUUUAUUAUGCAGCUUCUGCAGUACUCACCCACUGAUGUUGCCAGGAACACUCAUAUCAAAUUAUUUACAAUAGUAAUGAAAACGGUACCACCAGAGACUUUGUGGAUGGCUCUCCCUGCAAUGUGUGACUCUUGAUUGGUGUUUCCAGAAAGCUAAAUUCAGUGCAGCUCUCUCAACUGCAUUCUGGCCUCUUGUGGAUUUUUCUUCUUGUCAGCUUUAAGUAGCAUUUUCAACAAUGAACUUCUGUUCUUCAGCUUAUCACUAGCCUUGAACUUACGAAUUUAGUUUCUGAAGGCAAAGCUUAGUGUGUUAGCCACAAUGACUCUGUUAAUUUAAAUGAUAUUAUGUUCAGGUACAGCUCUGUUUGCAGAAAGAAUAAGGGUGUGUAAUAGAGAUGGCAGUGAGAAAUUGAGGAAGCUGGCAAGACAAGUGCUGAUUUCUAAGCAAUGUUGUCUAUAGUCAUAGGUAAAUGCAGUUUUAUUUUCAAGUAGUGCAAUUUAAACAGAAAAUUUAAGAAAAACAACCCUCUCUGACCAUGAAGACAUGGAUGGUAACCCCUCUGACUUCAGUGCACUCUGUCCAUGAUUUGGUUUUAUGAGUUUUUCUCUCAUAAGGUGAUAACUCUGUGAGUAAGAGAUAGCGCCAACUGUUAGGAUUUUUCCUAGCAGGGAGAGAAAUGUGUAUAAUGGCAUGUCUUGCAUUGUGGUCUGUUGCUGAUGGUUUCAUUGGAAAUUUUUAUUGGAAAAAUGAUGUAGGGGAAAUAGAACUCCAGCAAACAGCUUGCCUAAUGCUUUCACUGUAAAGAAUAAAGAGAAGAAGUCUUUAACUGAUAAAAAUGUUUCUGAGCUCUCACAAAGUAUGUUUUGUUUGUAAUCUUAGGGUCUAGAAAGACCAGAUCUUUAAGCCUGGUACUUAACGCCCCCAGCCCCCAAAAAAUUGCCUUUCAGUCAAGGAUAGAUUUUUUUUUAUGAGCAG
ensembl:lncRNA